AGUGAACGCUGGCGGUAGGCCUAACACAUGCAAGUCGAACGGCAGCACAGUAAGAGCUUGCUCUUACGGGUGGCGAGUGGCGGACGGGUGAGGAAUACAUCGGAAUCUACUUUUUCGUGGGUGAUAACGUAGGGAAACUUACGCUAAUACCUCAUACGACCUACGGGUGAAAGCAGGGGAUCUUCGGACCUUGCGCGAUUGAAUGAGCCGAUGUCGGAUUAGCUAGUUGGCGGGGUAAAGGCCCACCAAGGCGACGAUCCGUAGCUGGUCUGAGAGGAUGAUCAGCCACACUGGAACUGAGACACGGUCCAGACUCCUACGGGAGGCAGCAGUGGGGAAUAUUGGACAAUGGGCGCAAGCCUGAUCCAGCCAUACCGCGUGGGUGAAGAAGGCCUUCGGGUUGUAAAGCCCUUUUGUUGGGAAAGAAAAGCAGCAGGUUAAUACCCCGCUGUUCUGACGGUACCCAAAGAAUAAGCACCGGCUAACUUCGUG
rnacentral:rRNA from 1 species